rnacentral:rRNA from 1 species
AAUGAACGCUGGCGGCAUGCCUAACACAUGCAAGUCGAACGAAGCCUUCGGGCUUAGUGGCGCACGGGUGCGUAACGCGUGGGAAUCUGCCCUUGGGUUCGGAAUAACUCAGAGAAAUUUGAGCUAAUACCGGAUGAUGACGUAAGUCCAAAGAUUUAUCGCCCAAGGAUGAGCCCGCGUAGGAUUAGCUAGUUGGUGAG